UUUACAGGGCUGGUAUUGCUGAGUUCAUAGCCACUUUCUUGUUCCUUUACAUCACUGUCUUGACUGUCAUGGGUGUUACUAAGCCUGGUACCAGCAAAUGUUCCACUGUUGGUAUUCAAGGCAUUGCUUGGGCUUUUGGUGGCAUGAUCUUUGCCCUUGUUUACUGCACUGCUGGUAUCUCAGGUAAUAAAUGAUAAAGAUGCCUCCUUCUCUCUCUCUCUCUCUUUUUGUUAUACCUGCUUAGCCUUGGAUAAUUCUCUCUUGUUUUUUCUAAAUAAGCCUUCUUACUGGGUUCUGCCUCUUAAAUGUUCAGUCUCUCUUGCUAAUACCGGUUUUCUCUGGUUUUCCUUCUUUUUACCUGUUAAAGUCCAGGAUGGUGUAUAGUACUAACUAGAUCUGCAUGUGCUCAGGUGGACACAUCAACCCAGCUGUGACCUUUGGGCUGUUUUUGGCAAGGAAGCUCUCUUUGACAAGGGCUGUGUUUUACAUCAUCAUGCAGUGCCUUGGUGCAAUCUGUGGUGCUGGUGUAGUGAAGGGUCUCCAAGGAAGCCACAACUACGAGCUUCAGGGUGGCGGAGCUAAUGUUGUGAAUCAUGGAUACACCAAGGGUGAUGGCCUUGGUGCGGAGAUAGUCGGUACCUUUGUUCUUGUCUACACUGUCUUCUCUGCUACUGAUGCCAAGAGAAACGCUAGAGACUCUCAUGUCCCUGUAAGUACUCUUUGGUUUUGUUUUACUCCAUGUGUUUUCCUUUUUAACUUUAUAACAGUCCUUACCGUGUCGAUUGAUGCUAUGUGAUUGUUUUACAGACUCUACUAUGUUUUUCUGUGUUUCUUGUUGCUUUUUAUUGCUCGAUUGUUUCAUGGACGUCUCGUUGACAGGCAUGGUUCUUGGUUUGCAAGAAAUUGUUGGUUUUUUCUUUUACCAAGAUCUUUAAUAUGGGUUACAAUCACGUUUUCCAAGUUUGUGCCAUGUUUGGUAGGUCGUUUCAAACUGUGAUUGCGUUUUUAAAAUAUAUUUGUCUUGAAAUAACAUUUUUUUUAUAGUGCUUUUGGAUAUUUUGAUGAGCUAAUGUUAAAAAUAAAAAAGAAAUUCCCAGAAAAAACAACUUUUGAAAAUCACCCACAGAAUCAAACACGCAAUUAGACAGGUAUAGAUGUGUGGUUUUCAUCUAGGGUGUGGUUUCUGGUUUCAAGUUUCCUGAAAUCUUUUUACAGAGACUGGUGGGUGUGGCUGGGUAGUUUGUCUGCUUUCUUUGCUUUGGAAGGUGGAGGGUGUGAUGGUAACUUUGAUAAUGAUGUUUCACCUUUUGGUAGGUUUCUUUUGCCAAAAAAGAGAAAAUUGAUGAUGGUGAAUAUGAAAUGUCUGCAACUUUAGCAUGCGCUCUAGUAAUUAGCACUCUUGGAGUGCUUAGUCCUGUGUGCUAUGCAACCUGCCAGAGUACAUCUUCUUUAAAAAAGUUGUAGCCCCCUCCAUUAUCAAAAAAUAACCACGCGGUGCCAAUCCGUUCCUCUUAUGCUUUUUACCAUGUCCACUAGCUGCUCCACUGCUAUUAUUUUUAUCAUAUGCUUUUUUUUGCAGUGUUCGAAUGUUCUAUGUUAUGGGUACUGCAUUGAGUUAUAUUUGGUGGCUUCAUCUGUUGAUAGUCACAAGGAAUAGGUUAAUAUCAAUUGAUGGAUAUUAGUGUGGUUUGUCAGUGGUUUUUGGACCUCCACGGACACAUGCUAGCCAUGCGUGCCUUUUGCUUCGUUUGGCUUGCACAUGAUGUUAAUGGUUUCCAAUAACAUCAUGAUAUAUAUAUAUGUGUGUGUGUGUGUGUGUGUGUGUUCUUUCUGGUAACUGCUGCAAAUUGAUUUGGCUGAUGAGAAAUACAAUCAGGGGCAUGCUCUCAUUUAUGUAAUUCAUGGUUAUUCUGCAG
rnacentral:lncRNA from 1 species